AGGAGUUGGUAUUGCUCCAUGCUAAAGAAGUGGACGAAACUGAUGUUCAAGUUGGAGAGCUUGGAUUAGCGGUGCACAGCAAGUCCAGUUCAAGCCAAGAACCGGGUAGAGCCAUCCUGAUGAAGUCCGGUUCCAGGUCAAUU